GGCAGGAUGGCCGAGCGGUUAAGGCGCUGCACUCAAGAGGACUCGUCUUCUUCCCAAUUGAAUUGGUGUAUUGCAGUAUCGAAAGGUGCGUGGGUUCGAGUCCCACUCCUGUCA
rnacentral:tRNA from 1 species